GCCGGGUGUGGUGACGCAUGUCUGUAAUCCCAGUGGCUUGGGAGGCUAAGACAGGAGGAUCACAGUCUCAAAGCUAGCCUCAGCAAAGGUGAGGCACUAAGCAACUCAGUGAGACCCGUCUCUA
rnacentral:sRNA from 1 species